CUUUCCGUCGUAAAGCCCUAGGUUUUAGAGACAUAGUGAGACAAUGGGGGAUAAGGUUCAUCGUCGAGAAGGAAACAGCCCGGAUCACUAAUAAAGGCCCCUAAAUGACCGCUUAGUGAUAAAGUAGGUAAGGGUGCAAAGACAGUCAGAGGUUUGCCUAGAAGCAGCCACCCUUGAAAGAGUGUGUAAUAGCACACUGAUCGAGCACUCUUACGCCGAAGAUGAACGGGGCUAAGCGAUCUGCCAAAGCUGUGGGAUGUAAAAAUGCAUAUGUAGGGGAG
rnacentral:ncRNA from 1 species